AUUGAACGCUGGCGGCAGGCCUAACACAUGCGAGUCGAGCGGAUGAAGGGAGCUUGCUCCUGGAUUCAGCGGCGGACGGGUGAGUAAUGCCUAGGAAUCUGCCUGGUAGUGGGGGAUAACGUCCGGAAACGGGCGCUAAUACCGCAUACGUCCUGAGGGAGAAAGUGGGGGAUCUUCGGACCUCACGCUAUCAGAUGAGCCUAGGUCGGAUUAGCUAGUUGGUGGGGUAAAGGCCUACCAAGGCGACGAUCCGUAACUGGUCUGAGAGGAUGAUCAGUCACACUGGAACUGAGACACGGUCCAGACUCCUACGGGAGGCAGCAGUGGGGAAUAUUGGACAAUGGGCGAAAGCCUGAUCCAGCCAUGCCGCGUGUGUGAAGAAGGUCUUCGGAUUGUAAAUCACUUUAAGUUGGGAGGAAGGGCAGUAAGUUAAUACCUUGCUGUUUUGACGUUACCAACAGAAUAAGCACCGGCUAACUUCGUG
rnacentral:rRNA from 1 species